rnacentral:rRNA from 1 species
UGCGCAGGCGGGCUUGUAAGUCAGUGGUGAAAUACUGCCGCUCAACGGUAGAACUGCCAUUGAUACUGCAAGUCUUGAAUAUGGUUGAGGUAGGCGGAAUGUGUCGUGUAGCGGUGAAAUGCAUAGAUAUGACACAGAACGCCAAUUGCGAAGGCAGCUUACUAAGCCAUUAUUGACGCUGAGGCACGAAAGCGUGGGGAGCGAACAGGAUUAGAACCCUGGUAGUCC